rnacentral:misc_RNA from 1 species
CGUGACUUCAAGAACACACGUAUAAUCUUAAGUAGAAAAUCUUAAUGAUCGUGAAUAGCAUAUACGUGGAUGGAAUAAUAAUAAAAAAAAAAGAAAAGGGAAACGGAGAAAAAAAGAAGUAAUUGGCAAUGCAAACGUUAAAAAUUGAAAAUUUCACGUUACGUCAACAUUUUAUAUGACACGCACGUCCAAACAAACAGCUAUAUUAACCAGAUCCCCGUCAAUCUACGAUCAAGACGGUCUUUCUAAUUCAUGCAUCGUGACGCCGUGUAUGGACGUAGGCAGACGAUGAUCUUGAGAUUAGAACGAGCUCCUCUCAUUCUGGAAUUCGCUGGGGACCGUGAAAGGUAAAUACAAGGAGUCGAAGGAGAAAAGGAAAAAUAUCUUUACAAAUUUAUGCGUGAAGCC